UGAAGCUUCUUGGUACCUCACCAUCCUACUCAAAAUGGAUAAAACAUGUGAUUCCCAGUGAUUUGGAACAGCUGUUGGCAGACAGCGACCCUCAUAGUUGAGACAUUUUAGGGAAUCCAAAGGCAAGAUAGGUUCCACCUGGUCUUUGGACGAGGCUCUUGUGCUUUUCCGGAAAAAUAGCCUUUGAAGAUGCAACAGGAAGAGCCCUACCUUGCAUUCAGUCAGGACCAAGUUCGCUUUACCGCCCCUGCAGGAGGAAGGAAGAUUUUCUUCUGACCUGGCAACAGCCCAGCCAAUGACAGAGGGCACAGCCAGCCAAUGAGAGAUGGUCACCACCCUGAACUCUCGCUUUCAUCCAGUGGACUUCUGUUCAAAGCAGCCCCUCACAACUUCCUCCUUUUUCUCUAUAAAGAGACAUUUCUCUGCUUUGUUUUCCAGACUUGCCAAUGGGUUGACAUAGUUUGUGUGUCCCCAAUUGUAGUUUCUCUGCUGUUCCUGAAUAAACCCAUUUUGCUUGUAAAA